rnacentral:rRNA from 1 species
UACGAAGUGGGCUAGCGUUGUUCGGAAUUACUGGGCGUAAAGCGCACGUAGGCGGAUUUGUAAGUCAGGGGUGAAAUCCCGGAGCUCAACUCCGGAACUGCCUUUGAUACUGCAAGUCUCGAGUCCGGAAGAGGUGAGUGGAACUCCUAGUGUAGAGGUGAAAUUCGUAGAUAUUAGGAAGAACACCAGUGGCGAAGGCGGCUCACUGGUCCGGUACUGACGCUGAGGUGCGAAAGCGUGGGGAGCAAACAGG